AUAUAUAUCGUAAGAUAUAAGAUUUGCUACUAACACAAACGUACUAUUCCUCUUGGACUUUACUGGUUUCUAGGACAAUUCUGACUUAAUUCAAAGUUGAAAUAAGAAAGGGACAGAAUUGAAGAAGUCAACUCCUACAAAGUAAUAGUGUUGAGACGCUAUACGGACGACGGUGACUGCCUUUAUCUUGAUCCUACAAGAUAGCUCUUAAUUCUUUCACUCAUUUUUAAGGACCUAUCUGCUAUGGCUUGAAUCUGAACUGUUUGUAAACCGAAACCAUGCCGAAAGUUCUUGUAUUGUUUGUGAAAAGCGAUGAACAAGAAAGUAAGAGGCUAAAGGAUUGCCUUCAGGCGAAACUUGGGACUAUAGUUGAUUUUAACACAGUGAAAGAUGCCCUAGCAGAAGACAGCAAUCUCAAAAACGAACUUGCUCAAUCUCGAGGCGUCAUACUUGUGUCCUCGAAGCAGUCUUCAGAGUUCAUCAAGCAGGGAACGCAGGAAAAAGAGGGUAGUUAUGUGUUAUUCGAUGGAAGACUCAUUCAACAACAAUUGCAAAGUGGAAAUAUUCUGAGCAAGUUGGUCGUGGUGCAGUUCGGAAGCGCUGUUACCGACGCAUACGUACCAGAUGGCUACGAUAAGCAAGUGUUCGUCUUAGAUGCCAACUUCAGCUCUACUGAUGCUGUUUUGGAUCAAAUUGAAGACACCGUGAAAGGAUCCCUGACUUCGAAGGUAACAGAAAAUGUAACAAAGAAAAAGAAAGACUGUAAUCUUCUGUGAACUCGUUCACAAUCUUGUUUUGUAGUGAUAAUACUUUUUACACAAAAAAGAAAUUAGUAAAAUAGUUUUAGACAUCAGUGUAGCCGAAUAAAUAGGUUACGUUUAUGAUAUAUCUUACUCGUUGUAGGAUAGAGCUAUUUAAAAAAAUGCAAGCUAGGUCGACACAUAUAGAAAUAGAAAUUGAAAAUUUGUGCCCUUAUAAUAUUCCGCACAGAAACAAAUGGUAGUGACGUGUAAGACAUUCAUUUUCGAGUUGUCAUUCGCAUAAAACUGUCUUUAAGUCGUCCUUUAAUAGCGAUUAGAACUAUGCUUUUUUUUGAAAAUGCAAUGCUACAAUAAUAUACUAUGUAACCUGUUCCGCCAUGGCAGUUUAAUUCUAUCAACAAGCAGGUCCCUGCAACACAAAAUGCGAGAAGUAUUUUCAUUGGACGCUGAUAUUUAGAGCUUGAAAAGCGUUUUUGGGGCGUCCGUAGAAUGCAUUUUGCUCGUUUUUAACUUUCUUUGAUGUCGACCAUAAUUCACCUAAGGUUUACAAUUCUAGAAUUAAGUAUUUUUGUCUGGUUAGAUGUGUAGUGCUUAAUGCAAAAGCACAAUUUUUUAGCAAAUAAUAAAUGUUUACAAGGUGAAUUAAAAAAAUAAGUAGAGGCUAGAAGACUGAGCGAGCUACCUAUCAUAGUCAGUGAACGUAAUAACGAAGACUUACUCUCCGGAUUGAGUGAAUUUAUUUCUGAGAAAGUCGUACAAGUGGAGGCCGGUUAGAUCGUAUUACAUGAUCAUGCAAUAUAGAAACGAAGAAAACGAUCACCAUAGUCUUAAUUUCCCACUUUUAUAGAUCCGGUCGUGACCAUUAUUUAAUCUCCAUAGUUUGCGUUCUAUCUAUCUAGCUAAUUUAAAAAACGACCCUAGUCAGUGACUCCGAGAGAUUUUUUCAUGUCCUCGACCUCAAAGACUUGCUCCGUCUUAGUCUCUCUCCUUUCCAGCUUAAAACUCGGAAAGCUGUCGUAACCGGAAGUGCCCUUUCCGGAAUUCGAAUGGCCAACCGAAAAAAUAUCGAGCGAGACUUGGGCUAGUCUAUUAAAUUUCCACCACACGAGGCCGAUCUCGAGCCCAGAGUCUUCCGGCUUUUUGGUCAGCGGGCUGGCGCCGGUAUCAGGCGCUGACGACAAAGCAGGAAGGCGCUGGAGGACUUGGCGACGGACUUGGCUGGGUACGAGAUUGACACGAGGUUUGAAAAAUUCCCUCAUCGCAUGCUUGUUUAGUUCUAAUAUAUAGUUUUAGUCAGAAAACAGUUAAUUUUGUUCAAGAGCAAGCUAGUGGCGUGUGGUAUUUUAAUGGUAUUUUUCACACCUCACGUUUCAUAACAUUGUUUUGCUAUAUAUUUUAGCAACUUUAGAUCAAUUUUUUACAUCAGUUAAUUUGUAAUGAAAAUAGAAAUUAAUAAAUGUCUU